rnacentral:rRNA from 1 species
UACGGAGGGUGCGAGCGUUAAUCGGAAUUACUGGGCGUAAAGCGCGCGUAGGCGGUCUGAUCAGCCGGUUGUGAAAGCCCCGGGCUCAACCUGGGAACGGCAUCCGGAACUGUCAGGCUAGAGUGCAGGAGAGGAAGGUAGAAUUCCCGGUGUAGCGGUGAAAUGCGUAGAGAUCGGGAGGAAUACCAGUGGCGAAGGCGGCCUUCUGGACUGACGCUGACGCUGAGGUGCGAAAGCGUGGGUAGCAAACAGGAUUAGAUACCCUGGUA